CCACUCCUCCACCAAAACCAUGGAAAGGGCACAUCACAAUUUUUUAAUCUUCUUCAGAUCAUCUUUAAUAUAUAGCUUCAUUUAAGAACAGAAAUCAGUCUCUAUUAGAAGUUUGAAAAGCUUAGUGACUUUCUGCUACUCAAGACAUGACGCUUCCAUUCCGAAAAGAUUUGGACAAGUACAAGGAUCUUGAUGAAGAUGAAAUUCUUGACAAGCUAUCAGAAGAAGAACUGAAACAACUGGAAACUGUUCUGGAUGACCUUGAUCCUGAGAAUGCACUUUUGCCAGCAGGCUUCCGACAGAAGGACCAGACUACUAAAAAGGCCUCAGGCGCUUUUGACAGAGAGGGACUCCUUGCUUAUUUGGAGAAGGAUGCACUGGAACAGGAAGACAGGGAAGAAUUUGUUCCUUUUACAGGGGAAAAGAAAGGAAAAAUAUUUAUCCCCAAGCAGAAGCCUGUACAGUCUUUCAUGGAAGAAAAAGUGUUUCUUGAUCCAGAACUGGAGGAAGCUUUGACAAGUGCCACAGAUACAGAACUGUGUGACCUUGCAGCUAUCCUGGGAAUGCACAACUUGAUAACAAACACUCAGUUCUGUGACAUAGUAGGAAGUAGUAAUGGUGUCAGCAAUGAAAGCUUCACAGACAUAGUAAAAGGUGAAAGGACGAUACCAUUUUUAGAUGAACCACCAAAUCCCACACAUGUAGAGGAGAGUUUGCAAAGGAUUAAAGAUAAUGACUCUCGUCUUGUUGAAGUUAAUUUGAACAAUAUAAAGAACAUCCCAAUUCCAACAUUGAAAGAAUUUGCUAAGGCUUUGGAAAACAACACCCAUGUGAAGAGUUUCAGCCUUGCAGCCACUCGAAGCAAUGACCCUGUUGCUGUUGCUUUUGCAGAUAUGCUGAGAGUGAACAAAAAAUUGAAAAGUCUAAAUAUAGAAUCAAAUUUCAUCACUGGGGUUGGCAUUAUGGCACUGAUUGAUGCACUAAAAGAGAAUGAAACCCUGGCAGAGAUCAGAAUCGAUAACCAGAGGCAGCAGUUGGGACAACCUGUAGAAAUGGAAAUUGCCAAAAUGCUUGAGGAGAACACAAAUAUCCUUAAAGUUGGAUACCAUUUCACACAACAGGGACCGCGAACCAGGGCAGCUGCAGCUAUCACAAAAAAUAAUGAUUUGGCCACUGUGAACUGGGAGGCCAGUGGAGAGACUAAAUUAAUCCCUGUUGCCAGGGUGCCAGGACUCAUCACCACAGAUGUGGCCAACUGAAUGAGGCAGCUUAGUUAUGAACAUAAUAUAAGAACUCAGUCUGGAGUAUACGAGUAAAAUUUUCUGCAAAAGCCUUUUCAUCUCUCCAGCCCUGAAGCUACAGAGACAGUUCGCAAGAGAAGGGUUGAAGGAGACAACCAGUAAACCUUGCUGCUGCUAGACUUGCAUUGUGUGGAGAUUUCAAAGGUCCUCAAGGCGCAUCUGCUCAUCAUGGGUGUUGGCAAUCUCAGAUUUCAUUUACUUGGGUAGAAGGGAAAAGACUGGAAACCCCAUUCCUUUUUAGUAAAGUUAUAUUUAGAUCUGUGUGGAAUGCAUCACAUAUUUCAAUUUGAGACAUAGUAAUUGCACCAGACUUUGCAAGAUCAGUUUUUUGAGAACGUUUUUGUAUUCAAGACUUUAGCUAUACUUUUCACUAAAAUAAUGUAAAUUUUGAAAUCAGUGGAGUAGUUGUCUGUAUUCAAAGGAUGAUACAUGAAGGGAUCAAUGGGCAAACAAUGGAGUAUGUUUCUGAUAGGAAAGCUGGGGAUGGAUAUUUAAAUGGAGGGAUUUGUAUAUUUUUGAGAACAAUGUUUUGAGAAAAGGGAUUCUUCACACAGAACAAUUGGACUCUUAUUUUGUAGCUAUUACUUCAGCCUUCUUGUUCAUAUACACUGAACAUAAAUCUUUCACAGCUGUCACAGUUGCAGUUCUUCCUUUUUAUCUUGAUUGGCUAAUAUGCUUUCUUGAUACUUUGAUAAAGCUCAAAAGUCAUCCCUUUUCUGAUGAAAACGUGAAUUGAAUAAGGGCUGUUUCUGCCCUCCAAUACAUUUGGAGGAGAACUAAUUACAAGACGAGGAUGGGUGUCUUGAAAAAUCAACAUCUGUACUAAACCAAAAAAGCCUCCAAAGUAGCUUACAUUUCUGAAUAUUCUAAAAGACUGUACUUUGUUCUGAUGUGUUUAAACUGGACAUCUUUAGAGUGAUUUAGUAUGUUCAUCAGCAUUGUUUUAGAUUAUAUUCUUGUAUAAAAAUGUAUAUCUAAGUACCUUAAAUGACAUAGGAGUUUUCUAGCAGUAGAGAACAUGCAUUCUUUAAGAAAUGCUGGUAGUGUGUAUAGGAAAAGCAGUCUUGUGCAGCUCUGAAAUCAUAUACGUAAUCUUCUGUGGCAGGUUGCAACUGAGAAAUUCUGUUAAACUAAAAAUAGCAGUCAACCAUACUUCCUGUGAAAUAGUGACCACUGUACUAGACGGAUCUUUACCUUCCACUCUGACAAAGGGUCCUCUUGUUCCAUCAUCACAACAUGUUAUGCAGAAACUUAACAAAUGUAGUGUCUAAUCUGCAUUGGGUAGUAGAUUCAUGCUGUUAUUCCAUGCCAUUUAUUUUAAAGAGAAAUAUUUAGAGUUCUGUAGCUAGGAAAACAAAUUAGCGAACAAAAGUCACUUCAGUUUCUGUACAUAACAGCUGUGGACUCUUUUGUAAUAUUGCAAAACUUAGGUUUUAUUUUCAUUGUGCUAUUUUUGAAUUGCACUAUACUUGAUUGCACAGUGUUGACCAUUAGAUCAUAACAUAAGUAAAAGCAUGUUCUAAGGAAUUGGACAGUCUAUUUACAGUGACUUAUAUAAUUCAACUGACUUAACUGUCCAGUAUCCAUAAAAUGAACAUAAAUAUAGUAAGUUUUUUUAAAAGCCAUAUAUAGGUGAUGUGGAGAAAAAUGAGAUUUUUGCAUCAUGCUGUACGUAGAGUUUUACAAUGUACAAAUUUUUCUUUAGAAUAAUCCCCUAUUAUUGUGCCCACGUCUACGCUACCACAAAUCAUGUUUUAGGUCUUUAAAAAAUCCAGACUUCAAUCUUAAAAUGAAUUAAAAUUUUAUGGCAAGUACACAACAACUUUUAAACUAUAGUACCUUCAAUGAAGAUAUAAAUAAUUAAGUUUUACAAGGGUGGAAAGAUUAAUUAUCAUUUCAAAAUUGGGAAUGUUAUGGUUAAUUCUGAAUAAACAUCAGUGUGUUAUGGCCUAAAAGACGAUGUAACCAUGUAAAAAUGAAAGGAAGUUGGAAUGAAUUCUGUUGAAAAACCAAAGAUUUCCUGCACUGCACAUUUUUGAAUGAACAGAAAUAUGAUAUUGUUGGUCAUAAAAAAAGACUCCUUUUGCCUUUGGUUUACAAUAUUUAAAUUUUUUACAUAAUUUAAGCAGACUUUGUUGUGAGAAUGCUAUCCUAAAGUUUAAGUUCUUAUACAUUUGCAUGCAAAUGUAUAUAUUAAAAGCUAAGUGUCUUUUCAAGAGAUGGUGCUAUACCAGUGUGGCCAAAGCAUGGUAUACAUGCAUUAAGGUGUCUGAAACUAUUUUACGGUGCCUAAUGUUUAAAACACCAAGGAAUCAUUUUGUGUCAAAUAAGCAGGCUGUAAAACCUUCUCUUCCUUCUGUUGUCAAAGGGUUGCAUAUUUAUAAAAUCUAAUUUUUGUCAUAUCUGUUUGAUCAGCCUCUAGGCAAAUUAGCCAGUUACUUUAUAUUUGUAAUUGAAGAUAGAGGAGGGAAAUGAAAGUCAAUGAGGUAGGGGGAGAAUUGAUAAGGAAAAGCAUUUUUUCUUCUCUACGCUAUUUGUUUGAAUUAUAUCUGCCUCAUCAGUGGCAUAAGUGGAAAUCAAAUGGUUGGUUGAAGACGUGUAGUGGUCAGGAAUCCUGUCACAGUUGAAAGUAAUGGGCAUCUUUGCACCAGAUCCUUAAUAGCAUAGCCCCAGUGAAGUAAAUGUAGUAGCUCUGUUGUGGAUGGCUGAGGCUAUACACAUAGUGGCAACCUUAGCAGAGAAAACAGACAGAUUGGACAUGGAGACUUAACCAUAGAGGCUUGUCCCUUAGGUUUGAGGCACAUUUGGCAGGGCAAUAUGAAGACGCUUUAAUAAUUGCUGCCUGUGAUUUACCUUGUGUGUGGAUAAAUGAAGGAAUCCCGUCUCCAGAGCUGUCAAAUACCAUAAUCAAACUCAGCAAGCAAAGCUGACUUUGAUUUACUGGCUUCAAAUAUAUAGUAAGGUCUUGGGUAUGAUGAGCUCAUAUUUUAUGGGUGGUAUUACUUUAGCAAUAAAUUACUAUAAAAACCAGGCUGCUUUCCCAAAAGAGGUGGUGAUUAUGUGCUUUUUUUUUAGUCUGUAAUUGAUUCAUGGUUAAUUCACUUUUUUUUUUAAAUAUGCACUAAAUCUGGAAAAUCAAGUAACCACACAUUUUGUUGAUAGUUUUGGGUUCCAUUCUUAAUACACAGAAUCAUAGACUGAAUAUGUUUCCCAAACAUUCUGAAAAUUAUCUACUUACAAUUAUACUCUAGAGAAAUGUCAUCGUCAUCUCCACAGCUUUUUGUAUGAAUAAUGCUGUUUGUAAGCUAUGAAUUACAGAGUCUGUUAAGUUUAAGUUUCCGUUGAGGAAACAUGAAUUGAGUAUUUUAGCAUAUCAGCACUGUAUGCUGUCAAGCGGUAUUACAUUAAAAAUUCUGA